rnacentral:ncRNA from 1 species
UAUGAAGUUAUGAUUAGAAAAGUAAUGGUUUGUUUCACAUAAAGAGAGCUCCGCUGGUGAGAAGGAGUUGUGGCGAAUCACGAAAACACAUCUAUGAACUGAAUGAUUGAAUCAAUCUUUGAUUGGGUAGGUUGUUCCGCUAGCGAGCGUUACCACGGCUACUACAACUGUUCUCCAUUUUCAAUGGACGACUAGUUGUGAGCAGCGUAAGGUCGUUAUCGUGAGGUAGCGGCAAAGUAGAGGUGGCACCGCGACAGACUCGUCCUCGGA